rnacentral:sRNA from 1 species
GAAACCCUUUAAUACAGUUACUCAUGUGGUAACCCCAACCAUAAAAUUAUAUCGUUGCUCCUUCAGAACUAAAACUUUGCCAGCGAUAUGAAUCAUAAUGCAAAUAUCUGUGUUUCCCAAUACUCUUAAGUGACCCCCCCCAAAGGAAUCUCAACCCACAGGUUGAGAACUGCUGUCCUAGAAGAUACUGCUGGUGGGUGGUGCUGGUGGCCAUAUCCCAUCCCCCAGCCAGACAACCAAACCCCUCUAGAUGGAGCCAGCUGUCUUUUUAGCCAGUGCAGAAUCGCCCCAUGUGCGCAUGACUAUAGGCCUUACUUCCCAUAGACAAACCCACAGUUGGGCUGGAUUCAUUUCCUUCAGGGCCCCAAGGGAGGAACAACUGAGAACACAGCUGCCCCGUGGGAGGGGCCUGAGCCAGUGUCAAGGACAGUUCACAGGCAAUGGGAAUCAGUUCAUCAGUGAGGAGGUAAGAGCCCUUGUAAUCUAUACACUUCCCCCAAACACCCUCUCUGAGUCCUGUUGCACUGGGGAUAAGUCUUCGACAUGAGCUAUCGGGGUUGGAACACCAACUCCACUGUUGUAUGAGCUCUGCUUAACAUCUAAGGUGUCCUGGGCCUCAGUUGCUUCACCUGCAACAAAGACAGUGAGGCUACUGUUACAGAAAUGGAUACAGACAGCAUCUACCUAUCCAGAACCCCUCAAGUGCGGCAGGCUGGCAUCUCUGAAUGCUACCACUGGCAUAUGGGCUUGGUUCAACUGACCGGUAGAAUGGGCCCUAUCUGGAGCAUCCGACUCCACCUGGGGUGGCCUGUCACUUGGGCAGUGACUCUGGCUAUCACAGGGACCAAAUGACCUGAGUCCCGGGAUAUACUGUAUUCCUCGGGCUUCUUGGUCCAUUCAGCUCACCUUGGAAAGCUAUCUAAUACCUCUUGCCAAAUGAAAAACAACCCCAGAGACUUUGGAGGUAACCAUGGCAACUGUCUUCUAAACUGGAUUAUUGUUACUUUAUCAGAAAGUUCUCUUCCUCCAGUAUCCCAAUGCCCUGAAGUUGGAUGAAUUUUUAAAUGUGCUUUUAUUGUAUCUCGGAGCUAAAUCUUUUCUGUGUGCAGCAGAGAUCUGUCCUCAAAUCACGAUGAAAGCUGACAGGAGACUAAGAUUUUUUUCUUCAAAGCUCAGCUUUCUUCUCCACUGCAACUCACAACUGCCAUCUACCAGAGCACCAUACCUUCUGUGUCAAAGGGUAAUGUUACACUUUCCAUUGCUUUCUCAUUGGCUGAGAACAGAUGUUGAUCACUCACGUUUAUGGAGCGAAUCUGAGUGAGGGUUGUAACGACCACAGCGAGUAUAAGCAGAGCCAUCCCUACCCUCUUCCUGUGGCUGACCACCUCCAUCUCCCAGAUUCCUUUAGGCUUCUGCGUCUGCUGGCCCAGGAGUGGAGAUUGUGGGGUCCCGACACAGAGACCUGACCUACUGGCUCUGCAGCUGAUGGCUCAGGACGCCGAGCAGAGGUGAAUAUAUGAAUGGUUGAAGCCAUUCUGGAUUGUUUUAGCAGUGGAUGGUACAUGAGACUGCUUUCUCUUUGGUUUCCAGGUUCCAGAUUCUGAUAGGGGUAGCCUACGAAGCUCAGAGCCCACGGACUAGCUGUGUCUUACAAGUGCUCUGUGACUGAAUGAAUGUACUGGCUCUGCUAAUUAAUUCCUUGCUGUGUCUCUUGCAAGUUUUAGAUGACAGAAUGAUUAUUGGAGUUCAUUAUGAGCUACAAAGUGCUCCUAAGUGCAUGGGAGUGUUGUGUUGGAUGGCAGUAAGAAGUUCACCAGCAGCUCGCCGGGCCUGUCAGCUAAAUGGCCUACAAACUCAGCCUGGCUCAGGACUGCCAUACUUGCACAAGGAGCCGAAGUCAGAAGUUGGCCUUGUUGAUCGACAUAUUUUCCAUACACACCUGUCAGUCAUUUACAAAGACUUGAACCCAAGGCCCUGUCUACUUGAAGUCUUGAAGAGGACCUGGCUCUCUAAUCCUGGGAAGGACUGGAAUUAAAUGUGUGUACAACCAUGCCUGGCUACAGCAGCGUAAUUUCAAGAGUUCCAAAUUGGAUGCAGCCCAAGCAUCCUCCUCAGACAGAACAAGUAGAGAUAAAUUCAAAUGAUAGAACGUUGCAGACAACGACAAGAAAGAAGCUAGUUAUACCAACAGCGUGGAUGAAAUUUGCAAACAAAGCCAAGUAAAGAAGACCGUGGAGUGUUUGUGUUCUCUGAGUUUGUCCAUAGAUCGAAAUAGAGAUGGAGACAGGAACUCUGAAAUCAGGCAGCUGAUGCACGACGCUAUGCAUUUGUCACAACCCAUGGAAAUUUAUGUCACGAACACUGAACUUUAAUAUAUACAAGGCUUUUUUCUUUCUCCCUUUUUAAAAAAAUAAAUUAGGAUGGCAAAACACAAUGUUAUCUGUAACAAAUAAAUAUGUUAGAAAUACAUUGCGUGACAAAACUGAAGCAUUGCGGGAUGGUGAGAGCUGACCUGAGAAAGGCUGGAAAACGAUGCAGCACUAACGACAAAAUGACCCGUCCUCAAGGAUCCUAUAACUGAGAACUGAACCUAGGAUGGACUGUACCAGAGGAUUAGCCAGUACCUGAAGACUGGCCAUACCCGAGGACAGAACUUUAGCUGACCAUUUUGCUUCUCAUUGGGACAUAGGCUGGCUAUUCUAAAGUUACAUUAUAAGCAAUCUAGAAUUGAACAUAUACGUUAGUAAGUGGUAAGAUUUCGGAAGCCAGAUUUCUCCCCAUAACAGAGACAUGCACAUACAGGGCGGUAAGGCUAGGAUGUAUGCACUGACAUUGGAUUCAGGCCAGGGUAUAAUAGGGAUACAGAAGGAGGCAAAAAUAAUUACAACUCUGGAUGCACAGAGGGGUUACGUACAGUCGUACCUUUCUUAGUUGUGUCCAUCGACAGUUGCAUGAUUUGGCCAAGCUGUGGGCUUAAACAAGUGCUCUGAGUACAUUCGGGGCAGGCUGGGCAUCUUUUAUUUUCUUUUAUUUUUCUUGGAUAUUUUAUGUAUUCACAUUUCAAAUGUUAUCCCCUUUCU